CUUGCUAAUUUAAUGCAUAGCUCCAACAAAUAUUAUAUUAUGUUUACUAAAUACUACGACCACAUAUAAACAAACCAUUGUCCCAAUUUUAGUAUAGGUGAUAGAAAAAUUUUACAACAUUAUCAGUACCGCAAGGGAAAUAUGAAAAAGAAAUGAAAUAACUUAAUUAAGCAUGAAAUAGCAGAGAUAAUCCCUCGUACCUUUUGCAUCAUGGCUUAGCAAGUAAACCCGAACUAAUCGCCGCCGCCCCGAAAUUUGACGAGCUACCCUGGGAUUACCUAUAAGGGUUAAUCCGUAUCUGUGGCAAAAGAUUGAAAAAAGCCCUGGGUAGAGGUGAAAAGCCUACCGAGUCUAAUGAUAGCUGGUUACUUAAUAAACAAGUUUAAGCUUGAUCUUAACUCAUAGACUAGCAAUAAAAGUUAUUACUAACUAUAACCCUACUUUCCUAUGUUUUAAGUUUUAUUCACUAGGGGUACAGCUCUAGUGAACAGAGACACAACUCUAUUAAUUAGAUAAUCUAUAGCAAUUUUAAAUCUAAGUAGGCCUAAAAGCAGCCACCCCAAAGAAAAGCGUCACAGCUUAAAUUUAUUAAACCAAAAUACCAUAAACCUAUAAGACCCUAUUAUUAUUUAUUAAGUAAACCUAUACAAUAGGAAAUAUAAUGCUAAGAUUAGUAAUUUGUGACCACAUCACUCUUUAUGCAAGUUUAUACCAGAUCGGACCAACCACUGGAAAUUAACGACCCUUAAGACAAAAGGACAUCAGCUAACAACACCGUAUACAAGAAAAACAAGAAUAAAACACCGUUAACCCAACACUGGCGCAUAUUAAAGAAGAUUUAAAGGAUGAGAAGGAACUCGGCAAACGCAUGCCUCGCCUGUUUACCAAAAACAUCGCCUCCUGUUAUACAAAUUAAACACACAAAUGAGAGGUAAGACCUGCCCAAUGAAAAAUAUUUCAAUGGCCGCGGUACUUUGACCGUGUAAAAGUAGCGUAAUCACUUGUCUUGUAAAUUAAGACUGGAAUGAAAGGUUACACGAGGGCAUAACUGUCUCCUUAUCCUGAUCAAUGAAAUUGACCUACCCGUGCAAAGGCAGGUAUAUGUACAUAAGACGAGAAGACCCUGUGGAGCUUCCAAACAUUAGUGCCGAGUAGCCCCAUCACCGGUACGCAGUUUUAGGUUGGGGCAACCACGGAACAAAAGUAACAUCCAUGACGAUGAAAAUAUAAUUUUCUCAGCUUAGAGUGACAACUCAAAAUACUAGUAUGACUAACGUUAAUAGACCCAGUAUAACUUACUGCUUUACGAAACAAGUUACCCCAGGGAUAACAGCGCAAUCCUUUCCACGAGCUCGAAUCAACGAAAGGGUUUACGACCUCGAUGUUGGAUCGGGGCACCCCAAUGGCGCAAAAGCUAUUAAAGGUUCGUUUGUUCAACGAUUAAAGCCCCACGUGAUCUGAGUUCAGACCGGAGUAAUCCAGGUCAGUUUCUAUCUAUGCUUGUUGCUUCCUCAGUACGAAAGGGCCAGCGAAGCAGGGGUCAAUUCACUAAUGUAAACCCCAGUCUCAUCUUAAUGAAACCAACUCAACAAGAGUAGGACGCUCAAAUAUAAUAAUUAAAUAAAUU
rnacentral:rRNA from 1 species